AUUGAACGCUGGCGGCAGGCCUAACACAUGCAAGUCGAACGGUAACAGAAAGCAGCUUGCUGCUUUGCUGACGAGUGGCGGACGGGUGAGUAAUGUCUGGGAAACUGCCUGAUGGAGGGGGAUAACUACUGGAAACGGUAGCUAAUACCGCAUAACGUCGCAAGACCAAAGAGGGGGACCUUCGGGCCUCUUGCCAUCGGAUGUGCCCAGAUGGGAUUAGCUAGUAGGUGGGGUAACGGCUCACCUAGGCGACGAUCCCUAGCUGGUCUGAGAGGAUGACCAGCCACACUGGAACUGAGACACGGUCCAGACUCCUACGGGAGGCAGCAGUGGGGAAUAUUGCACAAUGGGCGCAAGCCUGAUGCAGCCAUGCCGCGUGUAUGAAGAAGGCCUUCGGGUUGUAAAGUACUUUCAGCGGGGAGGAAGGGAGUAAAGUUAAUACCUUUGCUCAUUGACGUUACCCGCAGAAGAAGCUCCGGCUAACUCCGUG
rnacentral:rRNA from 1 species